rnacentral:misc_RNA from 1 species
GAUGAAGAACGCAGCGAAAUGCGAUAAGUAAUGUGAAUUGCAGAAUUCAGUGAAUCAUCGAAUCUUUGAACGCACCUUGCGCCCUUUGGCUAUUCCGAAGGGCAUGCCUGUUUGAGUAUCAUGAACACCUCAACUCUCAUGGUUUGCCAUGAUGAGCUUGGACUUUGGGGGUCUUGCCGGCCUAUGGGUCGGCUCCUCUCAAAUUAAUCAGCUUGCCAGUGUUUGGUGGCAUCACAGGUGUGAUAACUAUCUACGCUUGUGGUUUUCCAUCAGGUAACCUUCAGUGAUGGAGGUUCGCUGGGGCUCAUAAAUGUCUCUCCUCAGUGAGGACAGCUUUUUGAACGUUUGAUCUCAAAUCAGGUAGGACUACCCGCUGAACUUAAGCAUAUCAAUAAGCGGAGGA